CCUUCUUUAAUCAUAAUUUCUUCCGUUUUUUUUUGUUUUUUUCAUGGAAUUUCGUAUGGGUUUCUUUGUUAAAUUGUUUGAUUUGGGUUUAGUAAUCUCAGGAUUAUGUGCUAUUUAAUUGUUUUGGUGAUCCUUGGGAUUGAGGGUUUCCGAUCUGGAUGUGAUUGGGUGGCGAUAGAAUCUCCGGUGUUGCAUCUCUUUGACUUUUAGUGGCAAUCUUUUAUCUAAUAAAGCACAAGUUACUAUACCAAUAAAAAUGUGACAUGUUAGCAAAAACAAAUUGAUUUUAGAAAAAAAAAAUAGAAAACAAAUAGAUGGAGCGAGAAAAAAAAAACAAUUAUACAUCUGCUUUUUCCUUAAAAGAGAUUCUAUUGAAGCGUAAAUUAUUGUUUUCAAUUAUUAUUAUUUUUUUUUUUUAAAUCUUUAAAUCUUUUUCUCUAUCAUCACCCACGAUCUCCACCUCUUCCACUUCAGUAAUUGUCCAUUCUCUUUUUUAAAACGUUUCUUUUUAUUAGCUUUUGCAGUGGAUCCAGCGGAUAAUACCACAUAAUCAUGAUGAACCUUUGUAUUUUCUCUAUAUUGUUCUCUGCUGUUUUCUAUAUGCAUCAGCAACAUUAUAUCGAUGUUGUGAUUACUUAGGUGUUUUAUUUAAGUUCGAUGAAAUUCAGAAAUAUUGCCAUUAAAGCUUUAUCAUUUAUGGAGCUUACUUCUUCGCCCCUUCCAUUUUUUGACCAGUCACUUUCUCUCUCUAAGCUCACUUUAUGGAUAAUUCAUCCCUAUGUUCUUUGUAUGUGUUUGACAAAAGACAAAAAUUGUUCUUUUCAUGUAGUCGUGGUUUAAAGUAUACCUUGAUUGCAUAUCACUUUCUCACAAAUAGUCUCAACAUUUUUAUUUUUUGUUGGAUUAAAAAUGCAAUUUGAUUCUUAUAUCUAACCUUUUUCCCGUACGAAGUACGGGGCUAAUACUAGUAUAUAUAUAAACCCAAUUCAGAUUGCUUGAUUCUGUUUGUGUUGAGUUAUGUAUUAGCUUCUGUCAUCUGGUUGAUUGUAUAAAUAUAAAAAAACAAGGUCUUGGUUAAGGUACAUCCAGAGGGGAAGUAUGUUGUCGAUGUUGACAAAAGUAUAGACAUAAGGAAACUCACUCCAUCAACGAGAGUUGCUCUCCGUAAUGAUAGCUAUGUUCUCCACCUAGUUCUGCCAAGUAAAGUAGAUACUGUGGUUAACCUUAUGAAAGUUGAGAAGGUGAUGAAUGAUGAUGUGUUAAUUUUUUGGUGAGUGGUUAUCUCAAGGAUUCAGGUUAUGAAGUCAUCAAAAUUUCAUAAAUAUGAAUCGAGUUCUACACAAGUUUAUGUGAAGGCAAGACUACAACUCAAGUGAGGAUAAGAGUGUUGUUAGCUCAGAAAUGCAGUGUGGUGUUCACAUAUGGAGCUCAACAAAACUCUCAUAAAUCAUAUACAUGCCAUAUUUUCAAAUACUUAUUUUUAUUACUUUCAAUUA